rfam:Nitratireductor indicus C115 contig3, whole genome shotgun sequence.
CCAGCCGGUCGGACGGCCGCGCGAACGAGAGCCGAAAGGCUGUUUGCGAGGAAAGUCCGGGCUCCACGGAAAAACGGUGCCGGAUAACUUCCGGCGGGGGUGACCCCAGGGACAGUGCCACAGAAAGCAGACCGCCCCGCCUGUUUUUCGGUUCGCUCGCUUCGGCGGAAGAACCGAAAUACUGGCGGGGCAAGGGUGAAAGGGUGGGGUAAGAGCCCACCGCGUCGCCGGUAACGGGGACGGCACGGUAAACCCCACCGGGAGCAAGACCGAAUAGGGACGGCGCGAGGGGCAACCCUCAGGGCUUUUUCCGGCCCGACCGUCCGGGUAGGUUGCUAGAGGCCGAUGGCAACAUCGGUCCCAGAGGAAUGGUCGUCACGUCGCGUUGCCUGUGGGCGCGCGGCCAUACAGAACCCGGCUUACAGACCGGCUGGCAUC